GACUUCUGGUUUCAUGCACCUGGCCCGCGGCUCUUUAGGCUUGUGAGUGCCGGCGCGCGUUUACCUUCUGGGGAACGGGUCUACCCUUAACUGGGCCGGAUUCGGGAUCCAGAUCAUUUACUUUGAAAAAAUUAGAGUGUUUAAAGCAGGCUAUUGCUAUGAAUACAUUAGCAUGGAAUAAUAAUCUAGGACUUCGGUUCUAUUUUGUUGGUUUCGAGAACUGAAGUAAUGAUUGAUAGGGAUAGUUGGGGGUGCUAGUAUUGGCCGGUUAGAGGUGAAAUUCUUGGAUUCGGUCAAGACUAACUUAUGCGAAAGCAUU
rnacentral:rRNA from 1 species